UCCUACGGGGCGCAGCAGUGGGGAAUAUUGGGCAAUGGGCGCAAGCCUGACCCAGCAACGCCGCGUGAAGGAAGAAGGCUUUCGGGUUGUAAACUUCUUUUAAGAGGGAAGAGCAGAAGACGGUACCUCUUGAAUAAGCCACGGCUAACUACGUGCCAGCAGCCGCGGUAAUACGUAGGGGGCAAGCGUUAUCCGGAUUUACUGGGUGUAAAGGGAGCGUAGGCGGUGAUGCAAGUCAGAAGUGAAAGCCCGCAGCUCAACUGCGGGACUGCUUUUGAAACUGUAUGACUAGAUUGCAGGAGAGG
rnacentral:rRNA from 1 species